AAUCAGGAGAAGCUGGCUCUCCUGCGGUUCCGCGCACAGAGGCGGGCAGCGCCGUAUCUCCACCAAUACUGUGCGCGGCAUUGCGAUUGCACCCGCCCAUCUGGACUGACAUAUCCCUGGGCCCAAUCGAAGGCUCGAGGACUUUCACAGCCGGUCAGGAUAGUUACCAAUAUCCGACCAAUAGGCGCGCUCCCCUCAAAUGGAGGCUACUUCAUCCUCCCUAAUCCACCUGAAAAAGCGAUGGGGUGAGAUAAUUGACGGACAGUCCCUGUUUCCAGUCGGAGCGCUGAGCGCAGUCUGGCCAGCCUAUGGGGCUCGGUUGCUAAAGAAGCGAGAAGGCGGGCUUCUCAGAUGCAGAAAGUACCGUGUGACAGACCUCCUGAAUGCUAGGAAGUUGAACUUGAAUAUAUACAGUGGAAACUGGAGUGGGAAGAACACAGCUGUGAGUAGAAACAAGAGCCACAUCCCUGUGUCUGUUCCUUCUGGCUGGGAGGCACACCGUCUUUCCCCACCGGGGGCAACAAGACCCUGGGACUAAAAGACUGUGAGAUACAGGCGGCUCUGAUAGAAGACCACAGCAGUCAUGGCAUGAACAUUGCUGAAGGCUCUUUCUCUCUUUUUUGAUUGAAAUCUAGUUAGUCUGCGGUGUCCAGGAAGAGGACUCUGGACUUGUGGUGGGCCCUCCACAGAGGAUACACAGGCCUGGAGAGCUGGGUCUGACAAGCGACCGCAGCCUGAGGGACAGGGCCAGGCCAAGUGUCACUAUCGGGAUUGUGGGGAUUUUUUCCCAACAAGACUGUGACAUUCCUCGGUCUCUUGGACCCCCGUUGUGGGGUGGGGAUGUUGACCUCCUGUGUCAUAAUAAAGAAUGCAGAGGCUGCCUAGGCAGGGCAGACGGCGCAGAAGAAAGGAGAGGAGGUUCCCCCUUGCAUAGGCAAUUUUAAGACUAAAUCCAGACUCCUUUCCCACAGUGGGCAUGGCCUGACCCAGGGUGAGGCUACUAUGUGGCCAUCCUGGGGCUGGGGUGGGGUGAACAGACAUAAUCCCUGACCUAUGUGGAAUCUCAUGAUGAGUCCUGGGUGUGUACUAUGUCGGGGGAACCUGGGGCAGACCAUUCACUAAGUGUCUGCCCAGCCCUGAGGGGAGGGACUGGUUGGGUCCACAGGCUAUCCUCUUCCAGAGAGCACCCCCAGUUCGCUCGUUCAUUCGUUCGUUCGUUCGUUCGUUCGUUCCUUCCUUCCUUCCUUCCAGCUUAAAUGGAGUAGACCUCAUUUAUAAAGCCUUAUUUAUCACUGCAGUUUUCUUUCUUUUUUGAAAAAAAGUGAAAGGCACGUAUUGCAUGGAGCACUGGGUGUGGUGCAUAAACAAUGAAUUUUAGAACACUGAAAAAAAUAAAAUUCAAAAAAAAGUGAUUUAUUUCAAUGAGAGAGAGAAUGGGGGGGGGGGAGCAGGAGAGAGAAACUUCAGCAGACUUCCCCCGCCCCCUGCCACCACGUGUGAAGCCCGACACAGGGAUCAGUCUCAGGACCCUGAGAUCAUGACCUGAGCCAAAAUCAAGAGUCGGAUGCUUAACCGACCGAGCCACUCAGGUGCCCCAUCACUGCAAUUUUAUUUCUAGUAAAUAUGCUAAAUUUGCUCAUAAUGUUUCGUAUUGAGAAGACUAAAAAUGCCUGCCAUCUCAUUCUCAAUCCCCUGAGCCUGUGAAUAUAUACAUGGCCUACAUGGUGAAUGGAGCUUUGCAGGUGAGAUUUGGGGAAGUGCCUGAGUUGAGGAGAUUGACCCUGGAUGACCCAGUGGGUCAGUUUAUGGCAGGAGUCCUUAAAAGCGGAGAACAUUUCCCACAUUGAAUCACAAAUAGUUAUGAAAAUAGAAUGAGUCAAAGAGAUUCUGCGUGGUUGGCUUUGAAUUUGAACACAGGAGGCCAAGGGUCACGGAAUGCUGUCAGCCUCUGAAAUGUCACCAAGUAAGGCACAGAUACUCCCACAGAGCCUUCAGAAGGGAAAACAGCUCUGCUGAUAGGUUGAUUAUAGUCUGGUUAUAUGUUGAUUAUAUGUCUGGUUCUGACAUACAGAAAUGCAAGAGAUCAAAUUUGCAUUAAGAUAUUAAAAAUGUGGCUAAGGCUGUAGUGGUAUGUUAUAUACAUAACGAGAGUGAACUAAUACAUAAUAAUAAGAAGAAAUUCACAAAAAUAAUCCUAAUAGUAACAUACACUGAGGGGCUAACAUGUACCAGACAUGGCUCUGUGUGUUACAGGUGCUUUAAGUUAUUUAGCAGUCUAUCCCAGUUGUUUUGGAAGAAAAAUUAUUCUCGUAUCACAUUAAAGAAUCUGAGGGACAGAGGGGAUGAAUGUCCUGUCCUGAGGAAAGAGAGAGCCAGGAAGGAGCAUAGCCUAGAUCUGGUCCCAGGGUCGUUUGAGGCCUGGCUCUAUUCUUGUUUCCACUGCUUGUGCGAGGGUGAUUAAACAGAAACUUGUUAUACGUCUCUCCUAUCUGUAUUUUGUCCACAUUAUAUUAGUACACUGCUGGGAUCAAUAUAUCAGUAUCGACAAAUACUGAUGUCGGAAAAUGGGUGAGAAAUGCAGCUUCAGGAUAACGCCGUGACACUUUCCCAUCCGCACCUCCCCCACACACCUCCUUGGCUGCUGUGGCUUGCUGGGGCGUCCCCUGGCAUCCAGCAGGUCCUAGAAAUACCAGGGCCCUUUUUCCCUACCCUACCAAAGUUCUUUACUUUCUUUUCCAUGCACUUUCUCCCUGUAGAUGAUCAACAGGCCCCGGGGACAAAUGAUAUCUUCAGAUUAGCUAAGUCCAUGCUUCUGUAUUCUAAGACCAGUGAGGUCGGCUUUCCAACAGAUUUGCUCACAGGGGUAUGUUGCCCUCUGCCAGGUUUCUUGUCAUCUCAUGGAACGGAGCCCUGCAUCUUGGACCCCACGCAUGCACCGAGUCACCCAGAAUGCCCCUCACUCCAGGCAGUCCACCCCCGAGUCACUCGCUGGUAGCUGUAUUCACAGAUCUGGCAGCCCUUGACUCUUUCUGUACCUGCUCUGGGGCUUCUGAGCCUCCGGGACUGACCACCUAUGACCUCUGAGCAGUGUGUGCUUGUCAGUGGACAUCUGGACACACUGUGCUGACCCUUUUGCAAGCAUCUGUUCCUGUGUGGUGAUCUGGAUAGUAAUGAAUUACAUUUGACCGAGUAUGACGGGAUUCCUUGCCGAGACGUCAACAAGGACCGGAAAGCAGGUUGUGAGAGCCGCUUCUCGCCUAGUCUCAGCAGCCUCUCUAGUUCCUGCAGCCAGGCCCUGGGGCUGGUUUUACUUCCUAUUUUCUGUUUCUUUUCCCUGUAUCUUACUCCCCUGACUGGAAAAAGGCUCCUUCUCUCUGCUCUUGGCCCAGUGCUGUAUGCUUACCCGCACCACAUCCCUCUGUUCUUAAUGGAGUAGGACUCAGGGAAGGAGGGGUGGGGGUUGGCUUUGCUGAGCUCACUCCACCCUCCAGCUUAUGAUGGCUCUUAGAUGACUUCAGUCAGCAUCAUAAUCCAAUGGUCCUGAGCACCCCAUCCUCUCUGGAGGCUUUCUGUGUUCCACACACGGAAAAGGCCAGCACUUGCAUCUCCUGGCAUCAGGCCUGAAUCUUUCUCCCAGUUCCUUCAUGUCAUGCCAUCUCACACACACCCUAAGGUCUACGACCAUGACACUCCAAAGGGCACUUAGUCAUAUGGCCCACAAACCACCAAGCAUUUCAAAUAUUAUCUGUGUGGGAGUUCACCAUGACUUUCUCUUGGUCUGAGCAUUGCAAUGAAUGAGAGGUGGCUUGUUGGAAUGUGUAAAUGGGCACACGACUCUUUAUCUGGAUUAUAUAUCAAUAAAUUCAAGGAAGUUCAAAUAUUAAUAAGCUACAAAGAAUGUCAACAUCUCAUCAUGUUAACAGAUUCUAUCUAUACCUUCACCCAAUUCUUCUUCCCACCUCAUUCUUUUUAUUUAUAUGAUUGUAACUAAAAAUAUAGAUGUGCUUUAAAAAUACAGAUGCUCGGGGCACCACCCCGUUGCCCCGAGCAUCUGUUAUAUUUUAUUUAUUUAUAGAUAAAUAAAAUCUUUAAAAAAAUACAGAUGCCCUUGUAAAGUAGUAUUAGACAAUUCAUACUUUGGAGGUAUUUUUUUAAAAUGGGUUAGAAUAUGAAAAAAUCGAUGGAUGAACAGAUACAUAAGAUAGAAAAAAAUAUAUAUAUUUCAUGUAUGUAUGUGUGUGUGUGUGUGUGUGUGUAUAAAUUACUCGGUCAUCAAAAAGAAUGAAAUCUUGUCAUUUGCAAUGACAUGGAUGGAACUAGAGUGUAUUAUGCUAAGAAAUGGGUCAGUCAGACAAAGACAAAUACUACAUGAUUUCACUCACAUGUGGAAUUUAAGAAACAAGACAGAUGAACGUAGGAGAAGGAAAGCAAAAAUAAGAAGCAGAGAGGAGCAGUCAGCCGAAAUAGCUCAGUUGGGAGAGCGUUAGACUGAAGAAGCAAAGAGAAUACAAACAAAAAUAAGAUACAAACAAAUAAAAUAAAAUACAAACAAAGAGGGAGGCAAACCAUAAGAGACUCUUACCUCUGGGGAACAAACUGAGGGUUGCUGGGGGAGAGGUGGAUGGAGGGAUGGGGUAACGGGGUGAUGGGCUUUAAGAAGGGCACUUGAUGUAAUGAGCGCUGGGUGUUAUAUGCAACUGGUGAAUUACAGAAUUCUACCCCUGAAGCUAAUAAUACACUAUAUGUUAACUAACUUGAACUUAAAAAUAAAUAAAUAAUAAACAAAUGAAUAAAAUGGGUCAGAAUUUCAUUUGGAAAACAAUGUUCACGACAGCUGCAAUUUUAUUCCUAAUAAAUCUUCAUGAAAGAAAUGUCUGGAAAUAGGAACAGUAACUCCUAAUGAUGUCUGCUUCCUUCCCCUGAAACCUGUCAGUGCUAUUGUACAUGGCAGAUGGGACUUUGCACGUGUGAUUAAGUUUGGGGAUCUUCAGGAGGAUUUUUCCUGGACUAUGCAGGUUGGUCCCAUCUUAAAAUAAGAGUCCUAAAAAAAAAAAGAAAGAAAAAGAACCUUUCCUGACUGUACUGAAAAUGAGGUUUAACAAUGGAAGAAGGAGGGGUGUAUGGAUGGUGCAGUUAGUUGGGGCCUCUGACUCUUGGUUUUGGCUCUGGCCCUCAUCUCAGGGUCAUGAGAUUGAACCCCACGUUGGGCUCUGUGCUCAGCGCAGUCUGCUUGAGAUUGUCUCCCUCUCCCUUGCCUCUCCUGCUUGUGCUCUCUCUCUCUAAAAUAAAUAACUCUUAAAAAACAAUGGAAGAAGGAGAUGAGAGGAAUGCUCUGUUGCUAGUUUUGAAGAUGGAGAAGAGGUCCAAGAGCCAAGAAAUGACGGUGUCCUAGAGAAUCUCCAAGAACAAGAAGACAGAUUCUUCCAUAGGAUCUCCAG